UGUGUGAGCAGAAGGAGUGGAACAUCCUGGGCUCAUAUAAGGGCUGACCAGGGAAGGGAAAUCUUCUCUUGGACCUAAGCUGCUGUGUGAGUGAGAGUUGCUGUAUGGCUGGACAGCCCUGUCACUACUUGGAUUUACAUGAGAGUUUGGGUUGCCAAGGAGCCAGGCAUUCAGCAUUCUGCAGGCCUAUUCUUUGAACUUCUAGGUUUGUCUGUCCACCAUUUUGUUGGAAGGCUAACAAGGCAGCUCUUAUCCAACAGUCUGGCUGACAUGCUAUAGGUGAGAUGGGAAUGCAAGAUCUUACAUGAGUCCUCUGUAUGAGAAGCAUGAAGAGGAAAUAGAAGGUUAAGAUCCAGUUGCCAGUAGGGAGCUCAAGACAACAUAAGUCAGCUCUUUUAUGUAAAAUACAGAUGGCUGGAUGAGCUUACUUAAAAAAA